AGCAGCCCCGCCGCCACACACCGGUGACCACUGGGCCUCGGCAGCUGCCGGGAGGACAGAUAAGUGGCGAAUGUUGUAUCUGCCUCGGAGAGUUACCUCAUCAUACCACUAACUGUUUGUGAAGUCAACCUUUGCAGGGUAUGAUUCCAGGAACCCGUUAUCCAUCAAUUCCCCAACAGAGCCACACUGAGUGGUGCAGUGCAAGAGUAGCAGGGUUGGUGGCAGUGCUGCCUCGAGGCUUCGAACGCCUGGUUCGGAACCAUGGGAAAGAGAUAAAAGUUACUACCAUAGCUUCUCCCGAAAAUUUAGACUAACAUAUCAGCCAUAAGAGUCCUGCUGGUGACAGCAUAGCGUACCAACUGACAGCAGUUCCCACUUGCUGCUGCUCUCUGUGCAAGAUACGUUUUCCAUUUCAUUGCUACCAGAAUGUUUUGGAAUGGAAGGGAAUAUAAUGGUUAUGGCCUGACACCACUCUUGCCUCACACUACCCACCUCAGGUGAUCUAGGUGGUGAAAAACUUUCAAUCAAGAUCUGGAUGUGACAUUAGUGAUACUCAAUGGAAGCACACCAACUAACUAUGGAUCAAACUGAAGAAGAUUUCUAAGACACCAUUUCUCAUUACCUGGUAGAAGUAGAGAGCAGUAGCAAUGAUGAGGGCAAGAAAGAGGAGCUUGACUAGGAGCCGCAGAGCUGAGGACAGCUUUCCAGGAGCUGGAGGACUGUCCACUUCA